rnacentral:rRNA from 1 species
AACGACUCUCGGCAACGGAUAUCUCGGCUCUCGCAUCGAUGAAGAACGUAGCGAAAUGCGAUACUUGGUGUGAAUUGCAGAAUCCCGUGAACCAUCGAGUCUUUGAACGCAAGUUGCGCCCGAGGCCAUUAGGCCGAGGGCACGUCUGGCUGGGUGUCACGCAACG